CCCGUUUUUUGAUGGAAUUUCGUCUUAUUGCUUGUAAACACUAUAAAGAAUCAGUGGUAAUGUAAAUAGUACUCACUUAUAUUUGUUAUAAUUAGUUUAGGUAGAUUAUGACUUUCAAUUGAAUUUAUUCGAUUUUAUACUCGCAAAAUUUGUUAUACACUUGGGAGCUGAUCGAUUUCAGGUUACUGCUCACACGAAAUAAUAUUCAAUGUAAAGAUAGCUUUCAAUGGAGCUUUUUCAAGAAAAGUGAUAUCAAAACACUUUUAUGUUCAUGCACCAUCAAUUUGUACCUGCUUUUUCUAGUGUAACAUGUUUCCAGAGCACUGAGAGAAAUCAUUCGCAAAGGAUCAUAGUGUGCCUAUUAUCCAUAUUAAAGUAAAACGAGAAUAGAUACGAGAAAGUUAAGCGCUCUAACGAUUCUACACAACGGUUGUGAAAAUUACACGCUCUAAAUAUAGCCGGAGAAGAUAAGGAAUUCGUUGGCUUUUAGUAAAUUAUUUUUCCAAACCAAUAAAACUCACUAAAAUAAUGUCAUAUGAAAUACCGCUCACAGUCCUCCUGAAUACUUUACUCAUGGACGAUAUGAGUUACAGAAUUUCACACCCAGUUAUCUCGAAUCUUUCGUGUGGGAAAUGGUUAUCUGAAUUUGUUUCCACGAUGACUUUCUCAACUAGAAAAUGUGAUUUUGGAUGAACAAUGAACAUUUGAGAAAAUGAGUUUAUUCAUGUUCAUAAUAGUCACCAUCUAUAUGCCUUGUUGUAAAUGAUAUUUUCAAAACUUAAAAGCUUGAAACAAGUCACGUUUUUGGAUGGUCGCCCCCAAUGACAUUAUGUUCACGCGAAAAUUCAAUUGUCUGCUGUGCAGUGUGCACAUAGUGUUAUUAUUGAAGAUAGAGAAAGAGAGUUAUGAGAGAUUGUUCAAGUGGACUCGUACUGCUUAUAGGGAUACAAAGAACAUUGGUUUACCCCUAUCUCUCUCUCUCUAUUCACCCUAUUCUGAUUGGAUUUUGAUAAGCAGUAGAGAGUAGUAGACUCAUGCUCUUUCUCGCUCUUCCAAUACUACUAUGUCACAUGCCGAUCUCUCUAUCUCUUCUAUAAUAAUUUAAGAACAUUUGCCUCUUAAUCAAACGAUAUUCGUACUCUUUUCAAUUGAACCUGCAAAACACAGUUGUUUGUGAAGGACUUUCAUCCCUUGAUAGCUGCAAUUCAAUUGCAGUCAGAGCUCAAUAGUAAAGAAUGAUGGUAUUUAAAAAUGUAAUAUGACAAGCUCACUUGGCACUUCAAAAUAUACAGACUAUUGGGAUAUUACGGGAGAUACAGUAAAUAGUCCCCGGGCCCACAUAUAAGGGAUUUCAGUUAUUAAUAACAGGCUAAAAGUUAAUAUACAGCUUCGUUUUCACGAAACACCUAACUUUUAUUAUUGGGCCAAAUUUUUAUAGUGGGAGGGAAAAGCGCGAUAACACUUCGAUUUGAUGAGUGUCCCAAAUUAAUUAAUAACAUCUCAUUAAAAUCAAUACUUCGAUAAAAUGCUAUAGAAAACUGAAAAAAACUGGUGGCAUACAAAGUGAGUGGUACCUUUCGAGUGAUCCCCACCUCUAUCAUGUCAGAAUGGCGACUUGAAAAAAUUUAUUAGUAAUUAGCUGAUUUUUGCUUUGUGGCUUGUAAAUAAUAUUUUUUUUAUAAAAAAUGCAUUGUUAUACAAAUUUGUUGCUAAUGUUUUUGAAACAUACACUCGAAAGUUGAUUAAUAACAACUUUUUUUUUAACUUUUUCUGUUAAGAAUCAAAUGUAUAACACCAUGUCACUAUUGGCAUACAAAAAAAUGCAAUUAAUUUACAACGGACUUUCAAAAUUUUAUAACAAAUUAAAUCUUGGAUAUAUAAAAUGUUGAUGUUCUAUAAAUUCCUAUAAAAUAUUACAGCUUAUUAAAUAGAAAUGGAUAUUAUUUUUAAAAUUACUCAGUUAUAUAAACAAUUACAGUAAAAAAAGAAGUGAAUUGCAUGAAAUUUUGUUGAAAUUUCUUGUAACGAGUGAUUGAACUAUUGAACUACUUAUUUAUUUUAUUGUUCAAUUAAAAACAAUUUUUAAGUGAUAGCCAAAAAAUCGAAGAAUAUACGUGCAUAUGGUGCAAUGCACAUAUGAGGGGUCUAACUGAUAAAACGCAAGAGGAUUAUGGAUGUAUAUAAAUUGAUAAUAAUUAUCAUUAUUAUUGUCUUAACGAACCACAAAGUUCAUUGCUUGAUCAACUUUUUGCAACAAAAUGUAUGUAACGUUUUCACUGCUCACAGCUUGCGUUACUUUAUAUAAACUUUAUACAUUAUACAUUAUACGAUAUAAACUUACCAACUUCCUUUUGUAAAUAAUUUUCUUUAUAAGAUAUUUUGUUAUAUUAUCUUUGAGUAGAAAAAUUUACAUAUUAUAUUUCAUAUCUCUUUUGUAGUUUUGUAUAUACUUGGUGACAUACUGGAUUCCUGGAAUUUAAGUUAAAACUUACUUAGACGACUUUAAUUUGGAAUUAACGUCAAACCUCGACUCGGGGAACUACCUAGUCCGAGACAACUAACUGAAUGAACCUCUUAAUUUAUUAACCAUAUUCCACGGAUAUGGUCCUAUUUGUAUUUUUCUGGCAAGUAAAAAGCCCUUAUGUGUUGUUAAAGGUCAGAUCAACUCAUAUUAGUUUCUUUUUGUUGUAAUAUUUACUUCAUU